UACGUAGGGUGCAAGCGUUAAUCGGAAUUACUGGGCGUAAAGCGUGCGCAGGCGGUUGUGCAAGUCAGAUGUGAAAUCCCCGGGCUUAACCUGGGAACUGCAUUUGUGACUGCAUAGCUAGAGUACGGUAGAGGGGGAUGGAAUUCCGCGUGUAGCAGUGAAAUGCGUAGAUAUGCGGAGGAACACCGAUGGCGAAGGCAAUCCCCUGGACCUGUACUGACGCUCAUGCACGAAAGCGUGGGGAGCAAACAGG
rnacentral:rRNA from 1 species